rnacentral:rRNA from 1 species
AGUGAACGCUGGCGGUAGGCCUAACACAUGCAAGUCGAACGGCAGCACAGUAAGAGCUUGCUCUUACGGGUGGCGAGUGGCGGACGGGUGAGGAAUACAUCGGAAUCUACUUUUUCGUGGGGGAUAACGUAGGGAAACUUACGCUAAUACCGCAUACGACCUACGGGUGAAAGCAGGGGAUCUUCGGACCUUGCGCGAUUGAAUUAGCCGAUGUCGGAUUAGCUAGUUGGCGGGGUAAAGGCCCACCAAGGCGACGAUCCGUAGCUGGUCUGAGAGGAUGAUAAGCCACAAUGGAACGGGGACACGGUCCAGACUACUAAGGGAGGCAGCAGUGGGGAAUAUGGGACAAUGGGCGCAAGCAUGAUCCAGCCAGACCGCGUGGGUGAAGAGGGCCUUCGGGUUGUAAAGACCUUUUGUUGGGAAAGAAAAGCAGCAGGUUAAUACCACGCUGUUCUGACGGUACCCAAAGAAUAAGCACCGGCUAACUUCGUG